GACGAACGCUGGCGGCGCGCUUAACACAUGCAAGUCGAACGGAAAGGCCUGCUUUCCCUUGUGGAUUGCGGGUACUCGAGUGGCUAACGGGUGAGUAACACGUGAGUGAUCUGCCCCCAACUUGGGUAUAAGCCUGGGAAACUGGGUCUAAUUCCCGAUAGGACUGCAGGGUGGUGCCUGUGGUGGAAAACGAUUUUCUAGUGGUUGGGGAUGAGCUCGCGGCCUAUCAGCUUGUUGGUGGGGUAAUGGCCUACCAAGGCGGCGACGGGUAGCCGGCCUGAGAGGAGGGACGGCGACAUGGGGACUGGGUUACGGCCCAGACUCCUAGGGGAGGCAGCAGUGGGGAAUAUUGCACAAUGGGCGGAAGCCUGAUGCAGCGACGCCGCGUGGGGGAUGACGGCCUUCGGGUUGUAAACUCCUUUCGACCGCGAGGAAGCCACCUGGUUGGAAGGGUGGUGACGGUAGUGGUAGAAGAAGCACCGGCUAACUACGUG
rnacentral:rRNA from 1 species